CGCCCCAGAAAGGCAACGCCAUGUCUUCCUUAGUUCAUCAGCUAAGUCUAUGUGCUGCUGCUUUGUCUCAGAAAUAGUCAAAGUUUGAAUAUAGAGUUGAAGAGCAGAAAAAGGUCUCACAGUGGUUGUUACUUUGUUUGAUUUUGGUUUGCUUAUUGUUGUUUAAGAAUUAGGGAACUUACAAGGAUUGAACUAGCACUGAUAACCCAAGUUACAAAUAUUUGAAACUUAUGGUCCUGAGAUAUGUUCUUGGAGAUUAUGUGAAAAUGAAAUUACAAAUGCUUUUCUGAAUUCAAUUGAUAGUCUGCUUUUCAGAAGCGCAGGUGAUGCUAAAAAUAGCAAUAGUUCAAGGCAAGAAUUGUCAUUACUCUAAUUUUCCCUUGCAGGAUUCUGGACUUGCAAGGAACCUCUGUCUGGUUCUUGAAUCUGAGUUUUAAGAAAAUGGAUUGCUGCUUUGUUUUUUGUUUGCUUGGAGUUGCCAUUUUUUUUCUGUUAUUUGAGUAAAAUUAAUUCAUAUUUUUGUUUGUUGGGAUUUUUUUUUCAGGUUAUAGGAGCUUCUCGUGGAU
rnacentral:misc_RNA from 1 species